UACGAAGGUCCCAAGCGUUAUCCGGAUUUAUUGGGUUUAAAGGGUGCGUAGGCGGCUUAUUAAGUCAGUGGUGAAAGCCCCAAGCUUAACUUGGGAACUGCCAUUGAUACUGAUGAGCUUGAGUAGAUUUGAGGCGGGCGGAAUGUGUCGUGUAGCGGUGAAAUGCUUAGAUAUGACACAGAACACCAAUUGCGUAGGCAGCUCGCUAAACUCUUACUGACGCUGAGGCACGGAAGCAUGGGAUCAAACAGG
rnacentral:rRNA from 1 species